rnacentral:lncRNA from 1 species
AAAGUAAAGGAUUGGGACCUAAUCUGUUGUUCCUAAUCUGUUGUUCAGAGAUUGAGUAUGAUGAAGGGGAGCUGUAAACUAUGAAUGCGAUUCACCAAAGGAGCAGUUUGUGUCUACUACUGAAAAUACUCUCUCAGUCAGCACUUCUGCAGUUGACCAAGGAAGAGAGAACAUGA